AACGGAGGGUGCAAGCGUUGUUCGGAAUUACUGGGCGUAAAGCGCGUGCAGGUGGUCUUUUAAGUUUCGUGUGAAAGCCCUCGGCUUAACCGAGGAACGGCACGGAAAACUGAGAGACUUGAAUACGGGAGAAGAGGGCGGAAUUCCCAGUGUAGAGGUGAAAUUCGUAGAUAUCUGGAGGAAUACCGGUGGCGAAGGCGGCAUCCUGGACCAUAACUGACGCUGAGGCGCGAAAGCUAGGGGAGCAAACGGG
rnacentral:rRNA from 1 species